GGGGGCCUUUGCGGAUCCCUGGAAGGAAGUCACGGGCAGCCCCGCUGGUCGGAUGCUGCGGGCGCCCCGACAUCCCCCCGAGUCAGGGCGCUCCCCGGGGCUGCCCUCUGCGCUCUCUUUCAGAACUGGGAGGAGCCGGAGUCGAUGCCCGGUCGGACGGCCGCUCGCACAGGGCGCACAGGGCGGCCGGGCAGGUGAGGAAGACGCCGCAGCGCCUGGGGCCGCAGGUGUGGUCAGCAUGGGCCCCGUGGGGAGGCAGAGCCCCGCACCCCUGCCCGUGCCCGCGGGCGGAUCCUGCCUCAUCCUCCUCUUCUGCCUGCGGCUGGGCGCCCCCUGCCCGCAGAGCUGCCAGUGCCCCGAGCACGCGGGGGCCGUGGCCGUCCACUGCAGCGCGAGGGGCCUGCAGGAGAUCCCCAGGGACAUCCCCGCCAACGCCGUGCUCCUGAAGCUCGACGCCAACAAGAUCGCCCACGUCCCUAACGGAGCCUUCCAGCACCUGAACCAGCUCAGGGAGCUGGACUUGUCCCAGAACACCAUCGAGACCAUCGGCCCCGCCGCCUUCGCCGGCCUGGCCGGGGGCCUGCGGCUGCUGGACCUGUCCCAUAACCGCAUCCGCAGGAUUCCGAAGGACGCCCUGGGCAAGCUCAGCGCCAAGAUCCGCCUGUCCCACAACCCCCUGCACUGCGAGUGUGCCCUGCAGGAGGCCCUGUGGGAGCUGAAGCUGGACCCCGAGUCGGUGGACGAGAUCGCCUGCCACACGGCGGCGCGCGAGGAGUACGUGGGGAAGCCCCUGAUCCAGGCCCUGGACUCCGGUGUCAGCUUCUGCAGCACCCACCACAAGACCACCGACGUGGCCAUGCUGGUCACCAUGUUCGGCUGGUUCGCCAUGGUGAUCACCUACGUCGUGUACUACGUGCGCCAGAACCAGGAGGAUGCCCGGAAGCACCUGGAGUACCUGAAGUCCCUGCCCAGCGCCCCCGUGGCCAAGGACCCCGUCAGCCCCGUGCCCUAGUGCCCGCUGCCUGAAGCAGGGCACCGCCGACUUCGGCCCCGACACUCGGGUAGCAGAUGGCGACCGACCUGUGCUUUCGCCGCGGAGCAGGGGACCUCACAGCCCCUCCUGCGCGGCGCCCCACCCCACAGAGCCCUUCUCGCGCUGCCUUCAAGCCACCCCGCCCCGCUCCAACCCACAAUGUUGCCAUCGGCCCACUUGACGGGCCAGGAAGCCCGAGCCUGAGAAGUGGCAUUGCCCACCACCACUCCGUCGGGCGGCCACCCAGCUGGGACUCCAGCCCGGCCCGUCUGUCCACGUCCCUUGCGCUCUGCGGCUUCAUCCACGUGGCGCCCCUAGGGUGUGACGGCAUCACGAGAAGAGUGUGCUCGCCCACGCGCGUGAGGCCUGCCCUGCGGACCGUGGGGUGUAGACUCCUCUGUGGACGGCACAGAGCAUCCUACGCGGCAGGACUCGUUGGCCUUGUCCCCCUGGUAGCGUUCCCCGAGCCCAUCUGACCACCAAACUGUCUCCAGAACAUAGUAGAGACCGGGUUACACUCGAGAGGUGUACAGGUCACAAGAGGUUUGUACCUGGAGAGCGUCACGUGACCUGAAGUGGGCCGUGAACACGGGAUCCUGUCUGCGCGGAUUCAGAGACCCAGACCCCACAGCGGACACCCCCAAAGGCCCAUCCAAACGAGGAAGGUCCUGACUUCACCGAUCAUGGUGCAUUAAAAAGGAACGACUGACAGGUCCCAAAUACUCUCCCGCGCCCGCCACCCAGACUAGGUGUGGGGGCACAGGAGGCAGGGCCCGGCGCCGCCCCCGUGGCCUGUCCCUCUCCGGGGCGCAGGUAAGCACUGCCACUGGCCGAGCAGCAGGGCGCACAGGCUCCUUGGGCGGUUUGGUCCUCCUUCCCCAUCCAUCCCAGGGUGCACGCUGUGGGGAGAGGGGCCCCCCCACCCAAGGAGCUCACCACCCAUGGGUGUGCCCGACGGAGGGGAGCCGACAGAGGUGUGGGGGCAGAUGCCAGGGUCCUGCGGCUGCCACUCAUGUCUGGGAGUGCCUCUCCUUCACGUGGGGAGCCUUAGCCCUGUGGGGGCCCUGUCGCGCUGCCGCGGAGCUCCCCAUUUCCUCUAUCACCAGAAUUAGCCCAAAGCCUGGCUUCCACCCGAACGCAGCUCUUCAGGGGUGCAUGGGGAGUGCGGAGGGGCCCCUUCCCUCCCGGCCCCUUUCCGAGGACCCUGGACACACCAGAAGGGUCCUCUCCUUAUCACCCUGAGCCCAGAGUUGGGCUGCAGGGCCCUCCUUCUGGGCCUUUCUGGGAGCCUCACCCUUCAGGAGUGUCCCCGAGCGGACACCUCCCUCCAGGGAAGACCAGCGGGUCCCUAAACUUCAGGACCACGAAGCUCCCUCCUGCUCCUGGGAGCUCACACCCCUGGUACCUGGGAACCUCGCUCUUCUGGGGUACAGCCACCUUCUCCCCCCUUUCCCCUGCCUAUCUCUCCCCCGAGGGACCCCUGGAGACGACACCUGCCUGGCCCACCCCCUCCUUGUCACCAUGUGUGAGCACAACUCGCUGGACACCCCGUGGGCCCUGCAGCUGCCUCAGCCCUCACCCCUGCACCGAUGGGUAGCUGACCCCGUCUUAAAUCUGCAGGGGCUGGGCGGGGUCAGGCUGGCCUCAUUGAGGAAAUCAGUGUUGACAGUGUCCGGCACAUGACAAAAGGGGUGCCUCAGUUGGCUCAUCUGUCCAGGACAGCAGGGUCACAGCCUUAUGGGACACGGGUGGCCCCCGGCUCUCACUGUGAUACAGAUAAGGGACCUUCAGAGCACUUUAUGCGCACACAUGGCCUGGUGUGCAAAGCGCUUUUGUCAUGGGAGAUGACACUUCACAAGGCUGAAGUCAGGGCAGGGUGACUUUGGGGCUUCCUGUGGGAACAGACACCCCAACUUGGGGUGGGGACUGGGCCUCAUCUCCUUCCCAUGGGGGUUGGUGGUGGGGAUCUGUCUUCCAGGGAGGCCUUACGGCCAGAGGGUUAGGGGGCCGGUGAGGGGUGCAGGAAGCUGGUGAGGAGUGCAGAGGGGUGCAGGGGGCCGGUGAGGUGUGCAGGGGGCCAGUGAGGGUACAGGAGGCCAGCGAAGGGUACAGGGAGCUGGUGAGGAGUGCAGAGGGGUGCAGGGGAGCC